GAUGAACGCUGGCGGCGUGCCUAAUACAUGCAAGUCGAGCGAACAGACGAGGAGCUUGCUCCUCUGACGUUAGCGGCGGACGGGUGAGUAGCACGUGGAUAACCUACCUAUAAGACUUGGAUAACUUCGGGAAACCGGAGCUAAUACCGUAUAAUAUAUUGAACCGCAUGGUUCAAUAGUGAAAGACGGUUUUGCUGUCACUUAUAGAUGGAUCCGCGCCGCAUUAGCUAGUUGGUAAGGUAACGGCUUACCAAGGCAACGAUGCGUAGCCGACCUGAGAGGGUGAUCGGCCACACUGGAACUGAGACACGGUCCAGACUCCUACGGGAGGCAGCAGUAGGGAAUCUUCCGCAAUGGGCGAAAGCCUGACGGAGCAACGCCGCGUGAGUGAUGAAGGUCUUCGGAUCGUAAAACUCUGUUAUUAGGGAAGAACAAAUGUGUAAGUAACUAUGCACGUCUUGACGGUACCUAAUCAGAAAGCCACGGCUAACUACGUG
rnacentral:rRNA from 1 species